CAAAAUUUCCUAAUACCCUCGUUCACUCGUUUUCAACUCUUUUAGCAUACUAUCUCAAACAAAAUACCUUAAUGUCUUCACUUAAUCAUCUUCAUUCAGAAAAAUCUAUUGAAAAUCAUUGGCUUCAUCCAAUCUUUAGCUUAAAAUCUCCGAUACCCAUAAUCUAUUAACCCUAAAUCAAAGCCCUGGUCUUUGAGAGGAAAGUUUAUGCAAUAUCAAUUAUUGGGCAUUUCCCAGUUGUUGUUACCAAUUUGUUGGAAUUAACAAGACUAUGAAAAUGGUGUCUUUCUAGCCCUUGAGUCAUCAAGAGCAUGUUACUAAUGUUGAUUUUGAUGUCGGAAAUGGGAGCGCUCAGGAGUUACUUUCAUAUUUGAAAUUCAGUUUCAGCGAGUCAGAUUUCGCUAAAGCUGAGUCUAUUUUGAUGGCAAAAGAAGCCAAACUGAAGCUUGAAAUCGAAAUUACACAAGCCCAUGAAUGGCUCAUGGAAAAAUUGGUGCGUGAAGGAAUGGAAAAACACAGAAUCCAACAGUUUUGGGAACUACAAAAAUUAAAUUUUGAACUUACUCAGGAGAAAAAUAUUGUUUUUUUAGCAACAGAGAAAGGCUGAGAAGGAAGCAAGAGUUGGAGGAACAAAUAUAUGCAG